rnacentral:rRNA from 1 species
ACGGAGAAGGCUAUGUUGGCCGGGCGACGGUUGUCCCGGUUUAAGCGUGUAGGUGUGUGUUCCAGGUAAAUCCGGUUCACUUUAACACUGAGGCGUGACGACGAGGCACUACGGUGCUGAAGCAACAAAUGCCCUGCUUCCAGGAAAAGCCUCUAAGCAUCAGGUAACAUCAAAUCGUACCCCAAACCGACACAGGUGGUCAGGUAGAGAAUACCAAGGCGCUUGAGAGAACUCGGGUGAAGGAACUAGGCAAAAUGGUGCCGUAACUUCGGGAGAAGGCACGCUGACACGUAGGUGAAGUGAUUUACUCAUGGAGCUGAAGUCAGUCGAAGAUACCAGCUGGCUGCAACUGUUUAUUAAAAACACAGCACUGUGCAAACACGAAAGUGGACGUAUACGGUGUGACGCCUGCCCGGUGCCGGAAGGUUAAUUGAUGGGGUCAGCGCAAGCGAAGCUCCUGAUCGAAGCCCCGGUAAACGGCGGCCGUAACUAUAACGGUCCUAAGGUAGCGAAAUUCCUUGUCGGGUAAGUUCCGACCUGCACGAAUGGCGUAAUGAUGGCCAGGCUGUCUCCACCCGAGACUCAGUGAAAUUGAACUCGCUGUGAAGAUGCAGUGUACCCGCGGCAAGACGGAAAGACCCCGUGAACCUUUACUAUAGCUUGACACUGAACAUUGAGCCUUGAUGUGUAGGAUAGGUGGGAGGCUUUGAAGUGUGGACGCCAGUCUGCAUGGAGCCGACCUUGAAAUACCACCCUUUAAUGUUUGAUGUUCUAACGUGGACCCGUUACCCGGGUUGCGGACAGUGUCUGGNNNNNNNNNNNNNNNNNNNNGGGUAGUUUGACUGGGGCGGUCUCCUCCUAAAGAGUAACGGAGGAGCACGAAGGUUGGCUAAUCCUGGUCGGACAUCAGGAGGUUAGUGCAAUGGCAUAAGCCAGCUUGACUGCGAGCGUGACGGCGCGAGCAGGUGCGAAAGCAGGUCAUAGUGAUCCGGUGGUUCUGAAUGGAAGGGCCAUCGCUCAACGGAUAAAAGGUACUCCGGGGAUAACAGGCUGAUACCGCCCAAGAGUUCAUAUCGACGGCGGUGUUUGGCACCUCGAUGUCGGCUCAUCACAUCCUGGGGCUGAAGUAGGUCCCAAGGGUAUGGCUGUUCGCCAUUUAAAGUGGUACGCGAGCUGGGUUUAGAACGUCGUGAGACAGUUCGGUCCCUAUCUGCCGUGGGCGCUGGAGAACUGAGGGGGGCUGCUCCUAGUACGAGAGGACCGGAGUGGACGCAUCACUGGUGUUCGGGUUGUCAUGCCAAUGGCACUGCCCGGUAGCUAAAUGCGGAAGAGAUAAGUGCUGAAAGCAUCUAAGCACGAAACUUGCCCCGAGAUGAGUUCUCCCUGAGACUUUAGGUCUCCUGAAGGAACGUUGAAGACGACGACGUUGAUAGGCCGGGUGUGUAAGCGCAGCGAUGCGUUGAGCUAACCGGUACUAAUGAACCGUGAGGCUUAACCUUACAACGCCGAAGAUGUUUUGGCGGAUGAGAGACGAUUUUCAGCACUGAUUCNNNNNNNNNNNNNNNNNNNNGCGGAUGAGAGACGAUUUUCAGCACUGAUUCAGAUUACAUCAGAACGUAAAAACGGUCUGAUAACAGAAUUUGCCUGGCGGCAGUAGCGCGGUGGUCCCACCUGANNNNNNNNNNNNNNNNNNNNUAGCGCGGUGGUCCCACCUGACCCCAUGCCGAACUCAGAAGUGAAACGCCGUAGCGCCGAUGGUAGUGUGGGGUCUCCCCAUGCGAGAGUAGGGAACUGCCAGGCAUCAAAU